rnacentral:pre_miRNA from 1 species
CUUGGGGAGGGGGGCGUCCCUCAGCCCAGAUUGUAAGAGGGUGCAGGUCAGGCCAAGGGAGCCCACCGGUGCAUG